rnacentral:rRNA from 1 species
UACGUAGGUGGCAAGCGUUGUCCGGAUUUAUUGGGCGUAAAGAGCGUGUAGGCGGCCAGACAGGUCCGUUGUGAAAACUCGAGCUCAACCUCGAGACGCCGAUGGAAACCGUUGGCUAGAGUCCGGAAGAGGAGAGUGGAAUUCCUGGUGUAGCGGUGAAAUGCGCAGGAUAUCAGGAAGAACACCCGUGGCGAAGGCGGCUCUCUGGGACGGUACUGACGCUGAGACGCGAAAGCGUGGGGAGCGAACAGG